rnacentral:lncRNA from 1 species
CGCACUGAUCAGGUAUCGUUCAUCUCUCGACUCGACCUGCUGUGAAAGAGUUACAGCGUGCCUGAUACAUAAACUCUUUCCCCUCCCCACCAACGUCACCAUCCCUCCGAAACUAACAACAUGGAGUCCGGUGUUUAGAGUGCAAAGGCGGUCUUCACCGUUAGCUGCACCUAUAUGCUUUUCCCGGUGCUCCCGAGGGAAGGCAGCGACGCUCCGGGACGCAAAAAGCGCAACGCACACAUGCACAAUAUGCGCUCGUGCGUUCGUGCAACUUGAAUCCAUGUAGGACACGGAGAGCGCGAUGUGAUUGGACGCAGAAGAUUCCAAAGACAGGCCGCUUUCCGACAGGAGAAGUGGACAGCAGUUGCACCCAAGGGGACCAUGGAGCCUGAGGAUGAUCUCUCGACCAGGGACCCUCAAGAUCUGAUGUCCAGCCGAGGGCUACUGCCUUCAGCAUCCACCUCCUUACUCAGCUGCACCUUCCUGGGGGGGUUAUUGCAUUGUGAUGACACAAUGGAGAAGGGUGAUGGAAAUGGAGAUUCAGACGGUCCAAAAUGCUUUUCCCCCACACUGGAGCAAUGUGGUAAAGCACAGAGAAGUCCACGAUCUUCAGCCUUCCCCUCAUCUCUGACAUGGGACUCGGACUCGGAGAAAGACACCUUGGACGAGGAAGAACUUCAGCACUUUUCUAACCC